UACGUAGGGUGCAAGCGUUGUCCGGAAUUAUUGGGCGUAAAGAGCUCGUAGGCGGUUCGUCGCGUCGGCUGUGAAAACCUGAGGCUCAACCUCAGGCCUGCAGUCGAUACGGGCGGACUUGAGUACUGCAGGGGAGACUGGAAUUCCUGGUGUAGCGGUGAAAUGCGCAGAUAUCAGGAGGAACACCGAUGGCGAAGGCAGGUCUCUGGGCAUUAACUGACGCUGAGGAGCGAAAGCAUGGGGAGCGAACAGGG
rnacentral:rRNA from 1 species